AUACGGAGGGUGCAAGCGUUAAUCGGAAUUACUGGGCGUAAAGCGCACGCAGGCGGUCAAUUAAGUCAGAUGUGAAAGCCCCGAGCUUAACUUGGGAAUUGCAUCUGAAACUGGUUGGCUAGAGUCUUGUAGAGGGGGGUAGAAUUCCACGUGUAGCGGUGAAAUGCGUAGAGAUGUGGAGGAAUACCGGUGGCGAAGGCGGCCCCCUGGACAAAGACUGACGCUCAGGUGCGAAAGCGUGGGGAGCAAACAGGAUUAGAUACCCUGGUAGCCCACGCUGUAAACGAUGUCGAUUUAGAGGUUGUGGUCUUGACCUGUGGCUUCUGGAGCUAACGCGUUAAAUCGACCGCCUGGGGAGUACGGCCGCAAGGUUAAAACUCAAAUGAAUUGGCGGGG
rnacentral:rRNA from 1 species